rnacentral:rRNA from 1 species
AAAAGCUCGUAGUUGGAUCUCAGAUCCGGCCGGACGGUCCGCCUACCGGUGGUUACUGUUCGUUGCCGAUCGUUCAGGCGGUUAUUCUUGAUGAUCUUCACCGGUUGUCUCGGGUGACCGCCAAGUUUACUUUGAAAAAAUUAGAGUGCUCAAAGCAGGCGUGACGCCUGAAUAAUUGUGCAUGGAAUAAUGGAAUAGGACCUCGGUUCUAUUUUGUUGGUUUUCGGAACACGAGGUAAUGAUUAAGAGGGACAGACGGGGGCAUUCGUAUUGCGACGCUAGAGGUGAAAUUCUUGGACCGUCGCAAGACGAACUACUGCGAAAGCAUUUGCCAAGAAUGUUUCCAUUAAUCAAGAACGAAAGUUAGAGGUUCGAAGGCGAUCAGAUACCGCCCUAGUUCUAACCAUAAACGAUGCCAGCCAGCGAUCCGGCUGUGUUCCUCAAAUGACACGCCGGGCAGCUUCCGGGAAACCAAAGCUUUUGGGUUCCGGGGGAAGUAUGGUUGCAAAGCUGAAACUUAAAGGAAUUGACGGAAGGGCACCACCAGAAAUGGAGCCUGCGGCUUAAUUUGACUCAACACGGGAAAACUUACCCGGCCCGGACACAGGAAGGAUUGACAGAUUAAGAGCUCUUUCUUGAUUCUGUGGGUGGUGGUGCAUGGCCGUUCUUAGUUGGUGGGGCGACUUGUCUGGUUAAUUCCGAUAACGAACGAGACUCUAGCCUACUAAAUAGACGUUCCCAUCAUCUUGCGUGGGACGUUCUUCUUAGAGGGACAAGCGGCGUUUAGCCGCACGAGACAGAGCAAUAACAGGUCUGGGAUGCCCUUAGAUGUCCGGGGCCGCACGCGCGCUACAUUGAAGGAAUCAGCGUGUGCUUUCCCUGUCCGAAAGGACUGGGUAACCCGUUGAACCUCCUUCGUGCUGGGGAUUGGCGACUGUAAUUGACGCCAUGAACGAGGAAUUCCCAGUAAGCACGAGUCAUCAGCUCGUGUUGAUUACGUCCCUGCCCUUUGUCCACACCGCCCGUCGCUACUACCGAUUGAAUGAUUUAGUGAGGUCUUCGGACUGGCGCUCGGAUUGGCCUUCGUGGUCGAGCCGGUGUGCCGGAAAGAUGACCAAACUUGAUCAUUUAGAGGAAGUAAAAGUCGUAACAAGGUUUU